rnacentral:lncRNA from 1 species
CCUGCUACUAUAUGGUAUGCUGCAGAUGGUUUGGUUAUUUUUACCCGCCACUAGUCUAAGACAAAACAAUGAAUUGUUACUGCUUAAUAUAAGUUGUUAUCUAAAUGGCAGUAAAUUCAAAACAUCUUGUGACACAUUCUACCAUUUGGUAGUUUGUAGAUGUUUUCGUCGUCUUUUCCACAACAUACAAUAUAUAGAAUCUAUAAUAAUGU